rnacentral:lncRNA from 1 species
UGUUAAAUUUUACUUAUAGUGGCCAGUCAAUUGAAGUUCCCCACGAUCAAUUAUCUGUAUUAAAAUAAUGUAUCUUGUGCCUUUUGAACAAUCUCACUACAGAUUACAAGGGAUUUUUUAACAGGUUCCGAAGACUCACAACCGACUUCAGGUAGUUCUCAAGACUUUUUAUCAGUCAGAUCGCCUAGAGCAGUACCUAGUCUUUGUACUGGAACACAAGAAUCUGAUCAAACUGAAGAUGAAGGAAAUACUUGUCUGAAAACUAUCGAGGAAUCCAGUGACAAAAGUAGCGUCGACAGUACUACUUAUGAGAAUUUAAAGUUCCUUCAGGAUGAAUAUUUACAAGACAACAAAGAAGAGUAGAUAAGUCAAAAGUGGAUCGCUGAACAACCUAUAGGAACAUUUAUUAUCCGGCCAGGUACAACAACGAAAAAGGAACUAUGUGUCAAUACUGGAAAUGGUGUAAAAAUUUAUAAAGUCUUAGAAAAGGGUGGAAAAGUGUAUUUAUCAGAAAGUAGAACAUUCCAUACAUUAGAUGACCUUGUAAAUUUCUACCAUUUGCAUGAUUUACCAUCUAGACACACACAGCAGAAAUUAACAAGAGGUUAUAAGUCAGAGAAAUGACCUAAGAGAAGUGUUGCACAUUUUAUUACCUCUCUUGAACUGGCUCUGUCAAAUCGAGGCUAAUAUCAUUCUGCUUGGUUGUGCGUUUGCUCUGCUUCAAAAGGAUAUAUCUAUGGAUUUUAUUCACGUUAUACGGCAUAUGAGUUGUGUUUUAGAUAUGACGUAAUGAAUGCAACAGCGAAACGUACCUUGCGGUUUGGUCCACUUUUACAAAGUUACAAAGUGAUCCCUUGGUUUUACUUCAGUGAACACCAAGGAAUCUUUUUAAUUUUUCUAAAUACCGGUUAUUUGAUCAGUUCUGAAUUGAUAAAACUAUGUUGGUAGGAUUUUUUUCCAUUCUAAACACAUUUUAAACACACAAAAAAAAGUUUAAGUUUCCAAUUUCGGCUUUCCUUGUUAAUACAAAUGUUUAAAACCUUUAGGACGUUAUAGUUAGCAAAACAAUUCCUACUUUCACACCGAAAGACUUUUAGAAUGAUUCACAGCUUGUGUCUGGAUAUUGCCGCAAUUCACGGAACACCCUGUUAGAUAUGUUGGUGGAUCAAGGUGGUACCUCAGUAUUUCACAUGACAUGCAGAAUCCAGACUUUAACAAAGAUAAUCAUUUUGUCAUCUCUCUGUUUUCAAAAAUGCAGCUUACUAUAAUGUAAUCAACAGUUAAAGGAAAUGUUGCAGUCAAAUGCGUCAUUUUACUCCUCCCUGUUUGUCGGAUACCAUUUAAAUGGAAUUUCUAUAGAUUUUACCAAACUUAAGAAGUCAGUGACUUUGUUAUAUCCACUUUCUUACAAUUCUUUCAUAUAUAUGAUUGUAUUGAUAACUAUUCAGUUUACAAACAUUCUAACGUAACAUUAUUGACCUGUAUCCUACACUUUAUCUGAAGUAUGUUUGGGCACUCCUUAUAACUAUGAAACUCACUUAAGUUCAGAAAAUAUUGUUCUGACAUUUGAAAUUAACAAUAGCGGUUUAACGCGAAAAGAUUAUUUGUCAAACAUGCGCAAAUGUUUGUUCCAGUCUUAAGUUACACCCUUUCGAAAUAGCAUUACCUUAACGGAGUCAAAUUGCAGAAGUUCAUGUCGGAAUACUUAUCUCACAUAUCGCUUUCAAAAAUGCAGUGUAGUGAAAGUCAUGGCCUCAACCCGAUUUUAAUGGACACGGGUUGGCCUGGUGUACGUUUAAGGGUCCAAAUAACAAAGUCAGAACACUGGUUGCAGUACAAAGAUAUGUUUUACUCAUCUUCAGAAUACGUAUAAUGUCAGAUACAACCAACGCCAGUUUAAACAUCAGAUACAACGAUGAAAACGGUUAUCUUAAAUCAACAAUAAGGUAUCAUAAGCUACCGAAUAAACGUCAAAUUAUAUCAAGUUUCAUUAUAGUUACAUCAAAAUGCUUCUUUGAAAUGAUAUACAAAUGUAAAUCUGAAAUGAAUUCUUAUGUAAGAGUUGUUAUGCCAUUCUGAAAAGAGGCUGAAAAAAGGCUGAAAAAUACGUGUUGCAAAAUGAGUAUAAAUAUUAAAAUAAAAAGGAAAAGAAAUAAGUGAUUUUACAUUUAUGUAUAUUUGAACUUUAUUAUUCGUUUCAAAACUUGUGUAUUCAUUAUGUGUAUUACAAUCAUUCCAAAUAUGUAUGUGUAUAUGUAUAUUGCUCAAUUGUACGUAGGCUAUGACAAUCAGUUACAAAUUUACAAAGUCAGUGUUUCAUUUUUAAGUUCUCAUAUAUAAUUGUAAAGUAUAAACACAAAUAAUUGUUAAGUAAAUCCUAGCUAACUGUAUAUUUCGCAUAUUCCUCAAAAUGUACAUAGUUACAUGGCUGGCGAACAUUGUGUAAAAAUAAUGUAAUUAUAAAAACAAUGACAAAGAUUAACGAUCCGUAGAUGUUAUCUGACGUAAAUAAAAGUCAAACAUUGGUACCAAUUGUACACUUCAUUACAAUUAUUAUCGUUUAACGAUACUAAUUAUAUGAUGAAAUCAUUGUUUAAAUGCUGAUGAAUCUUUGGUAAAUCUUGGUGCCAUUAUUCAUAGCAAGACAACAAGAAGUGAUCUGGUGAAAAAUAAAAAUCGCACAUAUCUUGAUCAUGUUUCACUUACUUAAUCAUUUUAAAUCAUUAACAAAUUAAGCCUUAAAAGUGUGUUGCAUUGCGUCUUGGAUCAUCUUGAUACCAUUUGAUUACUUUAGAAGCGACUUUGUCAACACCAUUGUGAUACUUUAAAUUACAAUUUGUAUUCUAGCUUACAUAUAUAACAAAACUGUUUUGCGAAUUGCUAGCCCAAACUCAUUCAGCAUAUACAAACUGUGGUUAAAUAGAAAAAGUGGAAAACCACGGAUAAGAAUAUCAAGUGUAUAUUAACUUCUCACACAGAGAAAGAAGUUCGGUUGUAACAAGUUUUCAAAAUAUCUCGAUUUGAAAUAUUAAAGGGUCUAGCAUUGAAAAGACCACAUGCAUACAUAACAAUUUAACUAAUUAAGGUAACUUUAUAUUCUUUAUUUUCAAUCGUACAACGAUGAAAACUAAACAGAAAAGAAGAG